rnacentral:misc_RNA from 1 species
UCUUUUGGUCUAGAUGUUGAGGUAUGAACCUCAAUUAUAUAUUUUUAUAUUUAUGUAGCUACCUUAUUCAACUGGAAGUCAAUCAGCAUAUUUGGCUUAACCAAUUCAUACAUGAAAAGAAUUAUAAAAGCACGCCAGGAAUUAAUGUCAAAUUUAUAGAGGAAAAAAGGGGAAUCAAUAGGUGAAAACUGCAAAGUCUUCUGUUUGAACUUUGAGCGGACUUUUAUGUAUAUAUGUAUAUAUAUAGUUGCAUAUCAGUUAUUCAAAACAAGAGGGACAUUAUGCUUGCUGACUAAUGUGCAAUUCUUGUAUCAAGGUUUAUGAGGGCGGGGAGAAUUUCAGUGUUGGACAG